AGAUUGAACGCUGGCGGCGUGCCUAACACAUGCAAGUCGAGCGGUAACAGGUGUAGCAAUACAUGCUGACGAGCGGCGAACGGGUGAGUAAUGCUUCGGAAUCUACCUUAUGGUGGGGAGUAACUAGCCGAAAGGUUAGCUAAUACCGCAUACGUCCUACGGGAGAAAGCGAGGGGAUCGCAAGACCUUG
rnacentral:rRNA from 1 species